rnacentral:misc_RNA from 1 species
UCCGGUUUGUCACCGGCAGUCUUGUAUGAGUCCCCAACUAAAUGCUGGCAACAUACAACGGGGGUUGCGCUCGUUGCGGGACUUAACCCAACAUCUCACGACACGAGCUGACGACAGUCAUGCACCACCUGUGAUCGUGCCCCAAAGGGAAGGUGUGUUUCCACACCGGUCACGAACAUGUCAAACCCAGGUAAGGUUCUUCGCGUUGCGUCGAAUUAAACCACAUGCUCCGCUGCUUGUGCGGGCCCCCGUCAAUUCCUUUGAGUUUUAGCCUUGCGGCCGUACUCCCCAGGCGGGGCACUUAAUGCGUUAGCUUCGGCACGGAGAACGUGGAAUGUUCCCCACACCUAGUGCCCACCGUUUACGGCGUGGACUAC